rnacentral:rRNA from 1 species
AGUGAACGCUGGCGGUAGGCCUAACACAUGCAAGUCGAACGGCAGCACAGUAAGAGCUUGCUCUUACGGGUGGCGAGUGGCGGACGGGUGAGGAAUACAUCGGAAUCUACUUUUUCGUGGGGGAUAACGUAGGGAAACUUACGCUAAUACCGCAUACGACCUACGGGUGAAAGCAGGGGAUCUUCGGACCUUGCGCGAUUGAAUGAGCCGAUGUCGGAUUAGCUAGUUGGCGGGGUAAAGGCCCACCAAGGCGACGAUCCGUAGCUGGACUGAGAGGAUGAUCAGCCACACUGGAACUGAGACACGGUCCAGACUCCUACGGGAGGCAGCAGUGGGGAAUAUUGGACAAUGGGCGCAAGCCUGAUCCAGCCAUACCGCGUGGGUGAAGAAGGCCUUCGGGUUGUAAAGCCCUUUUGUUGGGAAAGAAAGGCAGCAGGUUAAUACCCCGCUGUUCUGACGGUACCCAAAGAAUAAGCACCGGCUAACUUCGUG